rnacentral:rRNA from 1 species
AUUAUAGAUAAGGAUUUAAUUAUAUUUUUUCUUACCUUUUGCAUCAUGAUCUAUUGAUUAAAAAUAAUUAUUUAUUUUUCCGAAAUAAGAGGAUAUUUUAUUUUAUUUUGUGGUGUGUGACCACAUAUUUAAUUAAUGUUAAGUGGUGAUAAAUCAGUCGUCUCUUAUUAUAUCUGAUUUAGAAUUAUUAAAUAUGCUCAAGAGGGUUCCUUAGAUGAUACUCUCUAGUUUGUAAGAUAUUAGCUUGUCGCUUUAAGUUGGAUUAAAGGUUUCCACCUUCCAGGUGUGUUAUAACACAUUUAAUUACACGUUUUCUUCUAUCAAAAAUUCUGCUCAUUAACUAAAUAUUAAAGAUUAUGUUAGAAUAAGUAUUUAAAUUGCUGAAAGAUUUCUCGGACUAAACGGGUAUGUUUAUUAAAAACAUUUCUACUUAUAUAUAUAUGUAGUAGGGCCUGCUCAGUGCAUAACUGUAAAUAGCCGCAGUAUUUUGACUGUGCUAAGGUAGCAUAAUUAAUUGCCUCUUAAAUAGGGGAUUGUUUGAAUGGCUUGACCGGUUUACUAUCUAUCUUUCAUUAAUGUGAAAUUAGCUUGUUGGCACAGAGCCCAACACCAUAAUACAAGACGGAAAGACCCUGAAAUCUUAAAAAUUUUUAAUUUGCUUGGGGCAAGAGUAGGUUUUUUACCUAAUUUGUGGCCCUCCUAAAGGGGUUUAUAGAUUAAGUUACUUCAGGGAUAACUGGGUUAGAAAGGGCUAGAGUUCUUAUCAAACCCUUUAAUUGCCACCUCGAUGUUGACUUGGAUUGACCUUUUUGGCGCAGUAGCUUUAAAAGGAGGCCUGUUCGGCCCUUAAAUUUCCAAUGAGUUGAGUUGAAACCGGCGUGAGCCAGGUUGGCUCUUAUCUGUAUAUGGCUUUUUUUAGUACGAAAGGAUUGAAAAAGUUUUAAUUUGGGUGG